AUCUGGCUUAGUUAGGAGGCGCACAGUGAUAGGGUUUCCAACAACCAUCUUAGGCCCUUUUGAGGGGACUCCAUCUCUAUUCCCAUAUGGUGUCCUCCAAGCAGCCUUAGACAUCA